GGUACCCAUGUGCUGUGACGUCUCUCUCCGGGUCACCUGGGAGGUACCCAUGUGCUGUGACGUCUCUCUCCGGGUCACCUGGGAGGUACCCACGUGCCGUGACGUCUCUCUCCGGGUCACCUGGGAGGUACCCACGUGCCGUGACGUCUCUCUCCGGGUCACCUGGGAGGUACCCACGUGCCGUGACGUCUCUCUCCGGGUCACCUGGGAGGUACCCACGUGCCGUGACGUCUCUCUCCGGGUCACCUGGGAGGUACCCACGUGCCGUGACGUCUCUCUCCGGGUCACCUGGGAGGUACCCACGUGCCGUGACGUCUCUCUCCGGGUCACCUGGGAGGUACCCACGUGCCGUGACGUCUCUCUCCGGGUCACCUGGGAGGUACCCACGUGCCGUGACGUCUCU